rnacentral:rRNA from 1 species
UUGAAAGGGAAACGAUUGAAGUCAGUCGUACCAGCGGNAAUCAACCUUUCGAGUGGGGGUUUUGGAGUUUUGAAGAGUGUCAAAACCUUUGAGAUUUCAAAAUUUUCGCUCUUUUGGUGUACUUUCUCGUGGGUAGGUUAACAUCGAUUUUGAUCAUCAUAAAAAGAUUGGAGGAAUGUAGCUUCGAUCUUGUAUUGAAGUGUUAUAGCCUUUGGUAAAUGUGAUGAUUAGGAUCGAGGAUUGCAACGAAUACCCUUUUGGGCUAUCCGCCUGAUCUCUGAUACGUGGCCUUGGUAUCGAAAGCGUGCUUAUGGUAUUGAGGUAUUACGGUCAAAAGGUUAGAACGGAUUACAUUCGUUAAGGAUGUUGACGUA